rnacentral:rRNA from 1 species
GGGUUGUGAGGUUAAGCGACUAAGCGUACACGGUGGAUGCCCUGGCAGUCAGAGGCGAUGAAGGGCGUGCUAAUCUGCGAUAAGCGCCGGUAAGGUGAUAUGAACCGUUAUAACCGGCGAUACCCGAAUGGGGAAACCCAGUGUGAUUCGUCACACUAUCAUUAACUGAAUCCAUAGGUUAAUGAGGCGAACCGGGGGAACUGAAACAUCUAAGUACCCCGAGGAAAAGAAAUCAACCGAGAUUCCCCCAGUAGCGGCGAGCGAACGGGGAGGAGCCCAGAGCCUGAAUCAGCAUGUGUGUUAGUGGAAGCGUCUGGAAAGGCGCGCGAUACAGGGUGACAGCCCCGUACACAAAAGCGCAUGUGCUGUGAGCUCGAUGAGUAGGGCGGGACACGUGGUAUCCUGUCUGAAUAUGGGGGGACCAUCCUCCAAGGCUAAAUACUCCUGACUGACCGAUAGUGAACCAGUACCGUGAGGGAAAGGCGAAAAGAACCCCGGCGAGGGGAGUGAAAAAGAACCUGAAACCGUGUACGUACAAGCAGUGGGAGCACCCUUUGGGUGUGACUGCGUACCUUUUGUAUAAUGGGUCAGCGACUUAUAUUCUGUAGCAAGGUUAACCGAAUAGGGGAGCCGGAGGGAAACCGAGUCUUAAUUG